rnacentral:rRNA from 1 species
CUACGGAGGGUGCAAGCGUUAAUCGGAAUUACUGGGCGUUAAGCGCGCGUAGGCGGUUUGAUAAGUCGGAUGUGAAAUCCCCGGGCUCAACCUGGGAAUUGCAUUCGAUACUGUCAGGCUAGAGUGUGGUAGAGGGAAGUGGAAUUUCCGGUGUAGCGGUGAAAUGCGUAGAUAUCGGAAGGAACACCAGUGGCGAAGGCGGCUUCCUGGACCAACACUGACGCUGAGGUGCGAAAGCGUGGGGAGCAAACAGGAGUAGAAACCCUAGUAGUCC